rnacentral:tRNA from 1 species
UGUUCUGUGGCUUAGUUGGUUGAAGCACCCGACUUACAAUUUGGAGUCGUGGGUUCAAACCCCACCAAAAAAA